UCUCUGCAGAUCGAGAUUUUGCAGAAUUCUUACUUUCGUCCCUCUUGAUCGUCCGCCGGCCCUCUCAAUCAUUUUCCAUGGCCAAUAGAACCAUGAAAUUUGGAAUUGUUGGGAAAUAUGGAGUCCUCAUUGUCUCGAUGCCCAUCUCAAUAGACGUAGAAAUUUGGAAUUCGAGUUUCAAACAACAAACAAUUUCUAUGAUUUUUGUGUGUAAAUACAAAUUAUUUUGUGUCCCUCUAACAUUAACUUCAUAUAUAUAUGUACGUGCAUAUAUUAAGGUGCUUCGUUUAUGUAGUUUGUUGUACUUUUGUUCUGUUCUUUUCUCGGUACAUAUGAGUAUGGUUGUGAUUUUGAUGAUUUAGAAUUAUACUGUGUGUGUUUUUUUUUUAAUUGAAGUAUAUAUGAGCAUGGAAAUUAUUUGAAAUAGCUUGUUUGCAUCAUAAGCAAUUGUUUUAAAUUUUGGGGCUGAGGAUUGUCAUUUUGUGCACCAUAAGUAAUCUGUGAAAUAGCUUAACUGCGUAAUAGUAUUGUAAGAUAGAUUGUAUUUGGUGAUUUAGAUUAUUGGAAAGAUAUGUUUCUGUUAUUGACAUUAUUAUGAGUCAUGAGAAGUAUGUCUUAUCUCUAUAACUCAAACGCUCAAUGUUUGAGUUGUAAAAAGCUUACACGCGAGUAUUGUAUAUCAUAUUUCUAUUUCAUAUCUUUUAUGCUUAAUUUCAGGUAAGAAGUUAUUCCUCUAGUUAGUAAAUAAUUUAUUACUCCAGAGAAGCCGAGUUUGUCUCAGCCACAUCAUGCAGUGUCAAGCCGUUUAGUUCGUCGUAAAGAUUAAUGCGUGGAGCUUACUGUAAUAUUUUCUGAAAAUAGCUCGGCCAUUAAACUCUCAAAGAUUAAUGCCGGAUCUAGGAAACCCUGUUGAACAAAAUGAUGGGAGUUUGUAACUUUCUGAUACAAACUGAUUGUGCAAUUAGUUUGAGGGAGGAUGAUGUUCAAACUGAA
rnacentral:lncRNA from 1 species